rnacentral:rRNA from 1 species
UACGGAGGGUGCAAGCGUUAUCCGGAUUCACUGGGUUUAAAGGGUGCGUAGGUGGGCAGGUAAGUCAGUGGUGAAAUCUCCGGGCUUAACUCGGAAACUGCCAUUGAUACUAUCUGUCUUGAAUACCGUGGAGGUCAGCGGAAUAUGUCAUGUAGCGGUGAAAUGCUUAGAUAUGACAUAGAACACCAAUUGCGAAGGCAGCUCACUACACAAUCAUUGACGCUGAGGCACGAAAGCGUGGGGAUCAAACAGG